GAAAUGUUCAGUGCUGUCGAAGAUGGAGAUGUUAAUAGUAGAAGAAAGCGCAGAACAGAGCGAAAAUGGGCAAGGUAUUGUAGAUUUAAAACAUCUUUCAAAUAUGUUAAUAUGGGACAAGUUAGUGUUUACACUUAUCCGAUUGUCUUAUGCACCCAAACGUUGUUAGGCACCUUUUACACUGCAAUUUUUACUUGUUUGUUAUAUAUUUUGACAGAGUUGUAUCAAAUUAUAUACAAUUUUCAUUCUGCUUCUACCCAUUUCUCCGCGUUUUCAAAAUUUUAUUCUAGUUUCUACAAACGGAUUAUAAUUUUCAGCUGUCUUACAAAUUUCCUAGCGGGAAUGAUACAUCUGCAUGUUUUAAGUUUUAUGAAUUUUUUUAAUUGGAGGGGCAAAACCAAGUAUUUACCUGUAUUUUAAUAGGAAACAUGUUUUUUUCCCCAAUUAUAGUGCUUCUCAGCAACCCAAAGCACUUUUUGUCACACCUACUGUACUAUAAAUAUAAGACAUAUAUAACAAGAGUCAAUGAAACAGGUCUGCUGCACAUGAUCUUUGUGUACUUACAGUAAGGGUUAAGAAGUCUUGCAUUAUGAAAGCCAAGGCCUGGUGCUGGAAGGGUUACAUACUAAUAAUAAUAGUAAUGAUAAUUAUGGUAUUUAUAUAGUGCCCAUACAUUGCUAUUCUAAGCGCUACUACUAUGAAUGAAGUAUACUUACUGCAUGUGAAUGAAGUAUACUUACUGUGAAGACUACAGAAUGUUUAAUUCAAAUGAAUGUUUGCGUCAAGAUGCCAUGUGUCAUUAUAAUCACAAAAUCAUUAUUAGACGUGAACCAACCUUGAGACAACCAGACUCUCAAAUCUGUGCUUCUCUUCUUGUAGAAUAAUUUAUGACUAGAAAUCAAGUAAGACCCUGCCAAGUAUUCUCCUUGAAGUUGCUAUCCCCCAAAUGUUGAGUGAGACAAUAACUAUUUUUAUCCUGUUUAACUGUUUUACACACUUUUUGUACACAGCUUUGAUUAUUAAUGUAUGAGCUUUGCAUGGCUGUUGAAUUCUCAUUGUUUAUCUUUGUUCUUAUGACUUCUUUGUUCUGUGAUGAUGAUACACACAUUAGUAUUAAGGGACCGGCCAUUAAUAAUGGGUGGGGAGCAUGGGUGAGAUAAGGGAGGCGCUUCAAUUAUUUUUGCCUGAAUUGGGAGCGGCCUCAAACUGAAAAAUAUGUGACAAGGGGCGACCCCAAUUUUUUAAUACUUUCCUACUCAUUUUCAAAAUAUUUAGUUCCUAUAAUUGUAGUUUCCGUAGUUUGUUACGUGUGGUGAUGCAGUUCACCAUAGGAAUCGGAGUAAUUUAUAACAACCUUUUUGAAUACUGGUCCCCAGUACUUGUCCCAUUACUUAUUUUACACCAAAAAAUGUAACGAACUAAAUGUUGAUUUUUCUUUCUGUGUUGGUGUACUAAAUGUUGGAGGGGGUCCUACGUUUUCUAGAUGAAGGUGGGGGCGUCUUGAAAAUAAAGGUCUUGCAAUUGGGGGCGGCUCUAAAAAAGUUCAAUAUUUGGUAUUUAUCACCCACCGCCUCCCACCCCCCUCCCAUUAUUAAUGGCCGGCCCCUAAUUUAGUUUGCAGUGAAGUUCUAACUAUUCAGAAUUUUUUUCUGGCAAGCUUAGAUCCCCUGCGCUUGCCUCAAUCUUGGACAACCUCUGAUGCACCCAGUUGCUAUUAUCCCAGAAGCCUGUCAUAGGUCUCAGCAUAAUUAUACUUAUAUAAUAUAUAUAAAUUAUAUAUUAUAUAUAGUAAAUAAGUAUAGUAAUGGUGUCAUGCGAGCAUGGAUCAUGUCCUUUAAAACAAGUUCUGAAUGAUUUUGUAUACAUCUUUGUCAUUUUAAAUGUAGAACUUGGAUCAAGAGAAAACUCCACAUCUGUGAUUUUCUUCAAAAUAGAGAUGAAAAUUAGAUUGAUUUUCUGCUGAUUGCAUGUGCAUGAUGGUAUAUGAACUCCCUCUUAUUAACGAUUUGUCCUGUAUAUAUUUUCAGAUAUGAUAUCUCUAAAGGUGAACAAAAUUGACAGUGUAUCACCAUUAAGAAAUGGCCUUGCACUGUCUCCAAGGAAGAAGCAACUUCGUUCAAAGUCAACAGGAUCGUUAGGUUCACAUGCAAGUGGUUGGGAUGCG